rnacentral:tRNA from 1 species
CGGGACGUAGCGCAGCCCGGUAGCGCACCUGAAUGGGGUUCAGGGGGUCGCCGGUUCAAAUCCGGCCGUCCCGA